GUGUGGGAGGAGAAUAGAACACUCCACAAAUUUCCAGUGAAGAACAGUUUCUUGUUUCCAUCAUGAACUUACCAUCACAACAGCCACUCAGUCUUUUCUCUAUUGCCACUUCUGGGAUCAAAUGUAUCUCAGGAUCACCAGCUGCCACAAGUGCAUCAAAAUGGACAUAGAAGAAUUAUGCCAUGUCUUCUCUGUCUAAUGUGCCAUAGUUCUGCAUUUUUUGAAAUAGGCAGUGUAAGACUGGCAUAGCACUCCACUGUUAUCUUGGACCUGGUAUCCUGUCUGUUCUGCCACUUGCAAUGUGUGACUGACAAUCUUUCCUCUGGUCCAACAUGGCUAGCAGGGCUCAGGCUCACGCGCCUGGCAGGAGGAAUGAAGUGAGGAAGAACAAAAAGGGCCUGGGCCAGCUGUCUGGCGCUCUGUCAAGGAGCAUUUCUAGAAGUGUCACCUGACAUUUCCACUUAUAUGUCAUUGAUCAGACUUUAAUCACAUAGACACAGCAAGGUUGGAUGAGAAAUACAGUCUUUUGUCUCAGCAGUUUCAUCCCUUGAAUAAAAUCAUGGUUGCGUUACUGGAAAAGAAGAGCAAAACAGAUAUUGGGAAGGCAGCUAGCCAUCUCUGGCAUAAAUGCCAAUUUCAGAAGUAAGUAAGAAUGAAGUACGUCUGAUGGAAAUAAACAUAAAAUCAAAGAUCAACAGGAGACAAACUAAAAUGGCUACCAAAAUGAAUGUGAACACAUCCCAGAAGAGAAUUGGAAAACAAAAUUUUGCUCCUGCAGGUAAACAUAUCCAGUAUCAAAUACUUCAGUGGCAAAACCCUGCUCAGGCUGAGAACUGAAAAGAAGCCAAAAUCCAGUAAACUCUGAUACUGUCAAAAUACUCCCUUAUAAAAGAGAUUCAAGGACACUCAUUCCUACAAUGAAGUCUGGGCCCCCAGUCCAUCUUCCUCCACUCCCCAUUCCCUGCCCUAGCAUUUUCUCUGGAAUGACUCCAUCCAACAGAACUUUGAGAAUUUGACUCCAAAACUCUGAAGGGCAGGUCAAUAGGUCGAACCGCCAAGAUUACAAAGAUGAAGACAAAAUCUGCCUUCAGGGACGCCAUGACAGGAUUGGAAGAAAACACAGAUAAUGACAUGAUAACUGAUGGCAUAACUGAGGAGAAGAGGGAGAUGGGUGAUGCAGGCAACACUUGCCAGUCAUGGGCAGAGGAUGGAAAAUCCAGACAUGCUAGAAACACAAGCAAAGCCUCAGGAAAACCUACUGACUUAGCCCACUCCUCAAAAGACAGACUCUGAGGUGGAGAUUUAUAUGCAAGACGUUUACAAAGCAAUUCCCAAUGCUUCUUGGGAAUUUGCUUAGAGGGAGGAGUUGAACUGUGAAGCAGUUGCAAGAGGCCUUUUAGUAGGAGCUGGGGAACCAGGAUGGCCUUUAGAGUCGGGGCAAUGAGCGCCUUUGUGCUUCUCAUCCUCAACCAGUCAUUGAAGUGAGCUUCUGCUGGGCUGGCGAUGUGACCUGGAGCAAGAGGGACUCAGUUAAGAGCCACUGGGAGUCCAAGUAGCUGGGGAAAUGGGGACCUCAGUCCUGAGGGAGGAUCUAGUGGUUAUAGCAAGUCACGUGGUCAUGCUUGCCUUCAAAAGAGGCAGGAAAGUGCAAUCCUACCACAAGAUUAGAGCAGAGAAAUGGAACAUUUGUGAUCUCUCUGAGAACCUCCACAGACCUCAAGAUUCGGAUUCAUUAGAUUUUCCCCAAGUCAUUCUAAGUCUCUCCUACAUUUGGAAACCUCUGAUCUACCCAGUUCAUCUUUGGAGGAACUUCUUAGCUGAGAUUUGAGUCCUUUGUUGGUUUCUUGGCAAGGCAUCCUAAGUAUUGAGUAUAGAUUUGCAUUCAGAAGAUAUUCAAUGAACCAUUUUUCUCAGUAACUCACCCACUCUUCAACAGGAAACCAAAUGCAAAGUAACUGUAUUUUUUAUUUCUAUGAACAAUAAAAUACUUUCAUAAUUUCACAUCCCAUUGCUUUUAAGAGCACAUAUAUUACAAAUAAAGGAACUCCACAAACUU